CCGCAGCCCACCCACCCGAGCGCACAGCUCCUCACCUGGACUGCGCGGCCGACAGAGGCCUCCCGGGGGGAUCGCGGGCGUGGGUGCGAGCCCCGCACGUGUCCGCCGCGGCGCAGAGCAGAGGAUAUGAUUUGGAAAUUGUCAGGCACUCCUGUGGUUAACGAUCUACUUGAAGGGGCUGGCCGCUUCACAAUUAUUAACUGGUUAGCAACUGCUGAGGACUCACUAAGGCCCUAUGUGACAGUCCUGUGGCAUUGGGAAGAGAAGGGUGAUAACCCCAUCGGUGAAACUCAGGAGAUCAUGCAGUUCUGGGGAUCAAAACUGGGGCUCCAACAUGCAGAAAUGUCUCUGCUGGAGAAAUAGCUCACCAGGCUGAAAGCAUGCAAGUGGAAAGACAAGGUUUGAUCCCCAGCACUGCAUAAUCCUAUGGGCAUCUCUUGGAGUGACCUCUGAACACAGAAUAAUGAGUAACCAUCCCAUCCACCAGCACUACGCCCUGCAAGCUAUUUGGCAUAUGAAGGUCUUGACUUGAGAAAACCAUCUUGGAUAACCAACCACAGCAAGGAGAAGGGAAAAUGCAACACCUAGGAGAUUUCAGUAAACAGUAGAAUCAUGCCAACCUAAUCUGUGUUAAAAUGCUUGGAAUGUGGGAGCCGCUGAUGAUGCCUGUUGUCUGUGUGUCUGACUGAAUCCUUUCUUUUCUCAGAGCAGCAAAGCAAAGCCUGGGAACCAGGCCAAAUGCCUGCCACUUACCUUAAAUUGAUCAGCCACUUUGAGAUUAAAACCCCUGAAA